rnacentral:rRNA from 1 species
CUUUAUAAGAGUUUGAUCCUGGCUCAGGAUGAACGCUGGCGGCGUGUCUAAGGCAUGCAAGUCGAACGAACCGAUUUGAGUAGCAAUACUUGAUGAGGUGAGUGGCAGACGGGAGCGUAACACAUUGGUAACCUACCCCGGAGUUUGGCAUAACCCGCCGAAAGGCGAGCUAAUUCCAAAUACGUUUCGCGAUCAUAUGGUUGUGAAAGAAAGGAGCAAUCCACUCUUGGAGGGGCCUAUGGCUCAUCAGCUUGUUGGUAAGGUAAAAGCUUACCAAGGCUACGACGAGUAGCGGGUGUGGGAGCACGACCCGCCUCACAGGGACUGAGACACUGCCCUGACUCCUACGGGAGGCUGCAGUCAAGAAUAUUCCCCAAUGGGCGAAAGCCUGAGGGAGCGACGCCGCGUGCAGGACGAAGUCCUUCGGGAUGUAAACUGCUUUUGUGUAGGAAUACUUACGAAGGUACUACACGAAUAAGUGCCUGCUAAACUCGUGCCAGCAGCAGCGGUAAUACGAGUGGCACAAGCGUUAUCCGGUUUUACUGGGCGUAAAGGGUCCGCAGGUGGUUUUAUAAGUUUGGUGUUAAAUCCUGGUGCUCAACAUCAGGGCCGCAUCGAAAACUAUAAGACUAGAGGCUGGGAGAGGCAUACGGAAUUGCUGGUGUAGGGGUCAAAUCCGUUAAUAUCAGCAAGAACACCAAAGGCGAAGGCAGUAUGCUAGAACAGUCCUGACACUCAGGGACGAAAGCGUGGGGAGCGAAUGGGAUUAGAUAAAUCCCAACCGUGGUUUGUGAAAACAAACGAGCGGUGAAUGGUGUCCUUUUUGAUGGCGACAUCAAAAUGAGCAUUCAGCUAUAUCGGUGAAAACCCAAGAGAUAAAGGUACUACUGCCUUUCUUGGAAAACCCCGAGGGAAGUUUUUCUUUUAUGGAAAACCCCGUAGAGACUAUGAAGAUGGUCAACAGAGAUAGAAGGUGCUAAUCACUAUGUUUAUGAAACAAAAUGAUUUCGUGCCUUUGUCGGAUCAAGUUCAGUCGAUCAUAUUAGGAUCGUUAUUAGGAGAUGGAUCACUUACUUUCAAUAAAGGGUAUGCAAAUGCGCGAUUUACAUUUCGCCAUUCGCAAGUCCAAGAAGAAUAUUUUCAAUGGAAAGCAAUUCAAUUGAAGGAAAUUUCUUCGGAUCGUGAUGUUUUUUUGCAAAACCCUGAUGGGUAUUCAAAAAAUAAUAAGUUACGAUAUCAAAGUAAAGCGCUCCCCUCAUUAACAUUCCUUUAUAAGGAAACUUAUAAGCAUAAUCGACUUCGUAUCAGAAGGAAAUGGCUCAAUACCAUGACUCCAUUAUCACUUGCGAUUUGGUGGUGCGACGAUGGGUCGCUCAUAUCAAAUUCAAGAAAAGGAGUAUUUUGUACUGACGGAUUUGAUAAAGAAUCAGUACAACUUUUGUCGCAAUAUUUCAAAGUGGUGUGGAAAGUGGAGACACAUUGUGCACCGAUUGGAAGAAAACGCGAUGGGAAGAAAGAAGAAUACUGGAGGCUUUGGAUUCGUUCUACUGACGAACUCAAAAAAUUUCUUACUAUUAUUCUGCCUUAUAUACCUGUAGCAUCAAUGCUACAAAAAGCCCUUCUGCUCUAUAACGAUCAACAUCUUCAGCAACGCUGGAUCUCUGAAGUAGUUACCCUUACUCAUUUUUCAGAAGAAGUUGUACAACAACAACUAGAAGAAAAGCGAACUAAGUGGAAACGUUUCAGAGAAUGAUAUAGUCCAAUCUGUGUGGUAACAUACAGUCCAUAAUAUAUGGAACAUGACCCCAGUAGUCCACGCCCUAAACGAUGGAUGCUAGGCAUUGGAGGUGUCGACCCCUUCAGUGCCGUAUACCCAAGCUAACGCGUUAAGCAUCCCGCCUGGGAAGUACGGCCGCAAGGCUAAAACUUAAAGGAAUUGACGGGAACCCGCACAAGCGGUGGAGCAUGUGGUUUAAUUCGACGAUAAGCGAGGAACCUUACCAGGGUUUGACAUCCCGCGAAUUUUUGAGAAAUCAGAAAGUGCCCGCAAGGGAGCGUGGUGACAGGUGCUGCAUGGUUGUCGUCAGCUCGUGUCGUGAGAUGUUGAGUUAAGUCUUUUAACGAGCGCAACCCUCAUCUCGUGUUACUUUUCACGAGAAACUGCCUCGGAUAACGAGGAGGAAGGUGAGGAUGACGUCAAAUCAGCAUGGCCCUUACGCCCUGGGCCACACACGUGCUACAAUGGCCGAUACAAUGGGUCGCCAAGUCGCAAGACGGAGCUAAUCCCACCAAAGUCGGCCUCAGUUCGGAUUGGAGGCUGCAACUCGCCUCCAUGAAGCUGGAAUCGCUAGUAACCGCGCAUCAGCCAUGGUGCGGUGAAUACGUUCUCGGGUUUUGUACACGGAGCGCUUGGUAG